rnacentral:rRNA from 1 species
UACGUAGGGUGCGAGCGUUAAUCGGAUUUACUGGGCGUAAAGCGAGCGUAGGUGGCUUGAUAAGUCAGAUGUGAAAUCCCCGGGCUUAACCUGGGAACUGCAUCUGAUACUGUCAGGCUAGAGUAGGUGAGAGGAAGGUAGAAUUCCAGGUGUAGCGGUGAAAUGCGUAGAGAUCUGGAGGAAUACCGAUGGCGAAGGCAGCCUUCUGGCAUCAUACUGACACUGAGGCUCGAAAGCGUGGGGAGCAAACAGG